GCUAGCUAAUAAAGGUUGUGUUCCCAUGCAGCAAUUAGCUGAGAAAGAAUUAAACAACAGUAGAGUGUAGUUGGUAUGAGAUGUUGCAAUGUCAGAAAGACCUUAGUGAUAACUGUGAACUGAGAACAGGACACUGUGAUCAGAAGAAUGUGGAUUCAGCACAGAUGAACGACCACAAGAAUGUGGAACUAGGUGGAGUUGUCCUUAAACGAAAUACCCAAUAAUGAGCUUGCUUUUGCACUAUGUAUGAGCCUAAUUAUUGAUGUUAUAUAGGGAGUUUGGAGUUGCCAAUAAAGGAGACUUGCUGAUCAUUCAUAUUGAGUGCUGCUUGUCUCCCGCCGAACUCAUCAAAUGGCGCCUGAACAAAUGGGACCCUUGGGACCUUUGGGACCUUUGGGACAUUAAAAAGCGAAGGCCACGGGAGUCGGCGACAGGGGACGGGUCCUCCGCAGCAAGGACGGCGAAAAGCAACGGUGCCGCGCCCCAGGCGACCUCAGAGGAGAGUCCUGGCCGUAACGUGCUGCCGAACCUUGUAGGGCUGCAACAGCGCUGACGAGUAUGUGGAGAAUGUGAAGAAAGAUAACAGCAGCAGAGAGCAGCAGCAGGGCGGGCAGUCCACCCCCCGCUCCCUCUCUAUGAAAAAGCACCGGGAUAGUACCCAGUUUGUUAAAAAGUCAUGAUUCAUGGGUUUUUUAAAUAUUUUUAUAUACCCUUUUAGAGUUAAUUUUGUGUUUUAAGUAAUAAUGAAUUUAUGCAGAUGCAGUUUUUUAGAGUUUUCCUGGAGAAAUUACUGUGAUUCUUUG